rnacentral:rRNA from 1 species
CGUUUGACCUCGGAUCAGGUAGGGAUACCCGCUGAACUUAAGCAUAUCAAUAAGCGGAGGAAAAGAAACCAACAGGGAUUGCCCUAGUAACGGCGAGUGAAGCGGCAACAGCUCAAAUUUGAAAUCUGGCUCUUUUAGAGUCCGAGUUGUAAUUUGCAGAGGGCGCUUUGGCUUUGGCAGCGGUCCAAGUUCCUUGGAACAGGACGUCACAGAGGGUGAGAAUCCCGUACGUGGUCGCUAGCUAUUGCCGUGUAAAGCCCCUUCGACGAGUCGAGUUGUUUGGGAAUGCAGCUCUAAAUGGGAGGUAAAUUUCUUCUAAAGCUAAAUAUUGGCCAGAGACCGAUAGCGCACAAGUAGAGUGAUCGAAAGAUGAAAAGCACUUUGGAAAGAGAGUCAAACAGCACGUGAAAUUGUUGAAAGGGAAGCGCUUGCAGCCAGACUUGCUUGCAGUUGCUCAUCCGGGCUUUUGCCCGGUGCACUCUUCUGCAGGCAGGCCAGCAUCAGUUUGGGCGGUGGGAUAAAGGUCUCUGACACGUUCCUUCCUUCGGGUCGGCCAUAUAGGGGAGACGUCAUACCACCAGCCUGGACUGAGGUCCGCGCAUCUGCUAGGAUGCUGGCGUAAUGGCUGUAAGCGGCCCGUCUUGAAACACGGACCAAGGAGUCUAACAUCUAUGCGAGUGUUUGGGUGUCAAGCCCGAGCGCGUAAUGAAAGUGAACGGAGGUGGGAACCCGCAAGGGUGCACCAUCGACCGAUCCUGAAGUUUACGGAAGGAUUUGAGUAAGAGCAUGGCUGUUGGGACCCGAAAGAUGGUGAACUAUGCUUGAAUAGGGUGAAGCCAGAGGAAACUCUGGUGGAGGCUCGCAGCGGUUCUGACGUGCAAAUCGAUCGUCAAAUUUGGGCAUAGGGGCGAAGACUAAUCGAACUAUCUAGUAGCUG